rnacentral:rRNA from 1 species
GCAACGAGCGCAACCCUUGUCAUUAGUUGCUACCGCAAGGAGCACUCUAACGAGACUGCCGGUGACAAACCGGAGGAAGGUGGGGAUGACGUCAGGUCCUCAUGGCCCUUAUGGGUAGGGCUACACACGUCAUACAAUGGCCGGUACAGAGGGCUGCCAACCCGCGAGGGGAGCCAAUCCCAGAAAACCGGUCGUAGUCCGGAUCGUAGUCUGCAACUCGACUGCGUGAAGUCGGAGUCGCUAGUAAUCGCGGAUCAGCUUGCCGCGGUGAAUACGUUCCCGGGUCUU